AUGAUCAAGCAAAUUAUUACACAAUUGCAACUCCAAUAUCAAACAUUUGUUUAUGGAUUAAGUAUAGAAAUACAACCCUUAACUCAUAUAGUUAACACCACUUUAUGUAGUGGAAGAGCUGUCUAUUGGUUAUAUAACAUUGUUAUUUUGUUUUUGACUUUUUCUAAUACACUGCAAAGUAUUUUUUGA